AGAAGAAAGAAAGUGCAACUGUAAACAUCGGCUGCACUCUCUCGCUCUGCAGUAAGCCAUGUCCACGGUUCACUCCAGUCAUCCGGCCAUUCUGCGCACUUGUACGUCUGUGUCAGGGAUAAAUCCGAGUUCAUCGGCAAGCCUGUGGUCCGCAUGCUGUUGCUCACGGGCGUACCGUGCACGAAGCGAUGGACAACGGGCCUUAUCCGUUUGCAAGAUCUCUCGACGCAGCGUGGUACGGGAACGUGGCCGGCAGUCGAAGGAGGUGUAAAGGAAAGCGCCAUCACAUACAUCCGUCAUGCAUUUCUAGGAACUCAUGCGCUCGAUGGGAUAAUUGACAAUUGAUGUUAUGCGGAACGUUGAUUUGUGUUUUCUGCAAUACGACACUCACCCUUUACCGCACACGGUUUGGGAGUGCAAAAAGAAUCCACGGGCAACGCCUAACGAAGCACCAACCAAAGACCUGUGGGAGGCCCAGCUGUGAAGCCCAAGUCCUGGGGACCAGCUACGGCUGAUGAACAGGUCUAGGCUAUCAGCACAGGGCCAAGGCUACCUGGAAAAGGGUGGCCGCCCAAAUUCGGGCAUCAACAGCUUGGUCUCUGAAAUAAAGUUUAUUCCCUCACUCGA